rnacentral:rRNA from 1 species
GACGAACGCUGGCGGCGUGCUUAACACAUGCAAGUCGAGCGGUAAGGCCCUUUCGGGGGUACACGAGCGGCGAACGGGUGAGUAACACGUGGGUGACCUGCCCUUAGCUCUGGGAUAAGCCUGGGAAACUGGGUCUAAUACCGGAUAUGACUCCAUGACGCAUGUUGUGGGGUGGAAAGCCUUGUGCGGCUAGGGAUGGGCCCGCGGCCUAUCAGCUUGUUGGUGGGGUGANGGCCUACCAAGGCGACGACGGGUAGCCGGCCUGAGAGGGCGACCGGCCACACUGGGACUGAGACACGGCCCAGACUCCUACGGGAGGCAGCAGGUGGGGAAUCUUGCGCAAUGGGCGAAAGCCUGACGCAGCGACGCCGCGGUGGGGAUGACGGCCU